UACGUAGGGCGCAAGCGUUGUCCGGAAUUAUUGGGCGUAAAGAGCUCGUAGGCGGUUUGUCGCGUCUGCUGUGAAAACCUAAGGCUCAACCUUGGGCUUGCAGUGGGUACGGGCAGACUAGAGUGCGGUAGGGGUGACUGGAAUUCCUGGUGUAGCGGUGGAAUGCGCAGAUAUCAGGAGGAACACCGGUGGCGAAGGCAGGUCACUGGGCCGCAACUGACGCUGAGGAGCGAAAGCAUGGGGAGCGAACAGG
rnacentral:rRNA from 1 species